rnacentral:rRNA from 1 species
CCUACGGGAGGCAGCAGUGGGGAAUAUUGCACAAUGGGGGAAACCCUGAUGCAGCGACGCCGCGUGAGCGAAGAAGUAUCUCGGUAUGUAAAGCCCUAUCAGCAGGGAAGAAAAUGACGGUACCUGAGUAAGAAGCUCCGGCUAAAUACGUGCCAGCAGCCGCGGUAAUACGUAUGGAGCAAGCGUUAUCCGGAUUUACUGGGCGUAAAGGGGGCGUAGGCGGCCUUGCAAGUCUGAUGUGAAAUACCGGGGCCCAACCCCGGGGCUGCAUUGGAAACUGGCAGGCUGGAGUGCCGGAGAGGCAGGCGGAAUUCCUGGUGUAGCGGUGAAAUGCGUAGAUAUUAGGAGGAACACCAGUGGCGAAGGCGGCCUGCUGGACGGUGACUGACGCUGAGGCUCGAAAGCGUGGGGAGCAAACAGGAUUAGAUACCCGAGUAGUC